rnacentral:rRNA from 1 species
CGGUUGAUCCUGCCGGAGGUCACCGCUAUUGGAAUCCGAUUAAGCCAUGCGAGUCUAAAGGUCUUCGGACCUUGGCAGACUGCUCAGUAACACGCGGAUAAUCUACCCUUGGGUGGGGCAUAAUCACGGGAAACUGUGCAUAAUACCCCAUAGGUUUAGGAUGCUGGAAUGCUUCUAAGCCGAAAGUUCCGGCGCCCAAGGAUGAGUCUGCGGCCUAUCAGGUAGUAGUGGGUGUAACGGACCCACUAGCCUAAGACGGGUACGGGCCUUGAGAGAGGUAGCCCGGAGAUGGACUCUUAGACACGAGUCCAGGCCCCACGGGGCGCAGCAGGCGCGAAAACUUCACAAUGCAGGAAACUGCGAUGAGGGGAUUCCAAGUGCAUGUGCAUUGCAUAUGCUGUUUUUGUACCUAAAAAGUACUUAGAGUAAGAGCUGGGUAAGACGGGUGCCAGCCGCCGCGGUAAUACCCGCAGCUCGAGUGGUGAUCGUUUUUAUUGAGCCUAAAGCGUCCGUAGCCGGCCCAUUAAAUCCUUGAGUAAAUCGGGCAGCUUAACUGUCCAAAUUUCGAGGAGACUGGUGGGCUUGGGACCGGAAGAAGUCAGAGGUACUCCAGGGGUAGGGGUGAAAUCCUGUAAUCCUUGGAGGACCACCGGUGGCGAAGGCGUCUGACUAGGACGGCUCCGACGGUGAGGGACGAAGCCCUGGGGCGCAAACCGGAUUAGAUACCCGGGUAGUCCAGGGUGUAAACGCUGCAGACUUGGUGUUAGGGAUCCUACGAGGGUGCCUAGUGCCGGAGAGAAGUCGUUAAGUCUGCCGCUUGGGGAGUACGAUCGCAAGAUUGAAACUUAAAGGAAUUGGCGGGGGAGCAC